AUUUGGUUAGCCCUUUCUUCAAUUUCCAUUUCCACACUUUUUUUCUCCUCUUCCCAGAAAAUUUGGGAAAGCAAAGAAAAGCUUCAGAUAUUUAUUGUCGCUUGAAAAAUCCCAAACCCUAUUCCCAAUUCUGCAGGCCGCCAAGCCAGAGAAAUCAAAAGGAUUAUUAAUGGAGAAGGAGAUUAAUAUCGUCAAUGAUGGGGCGUCGGGGGACGAUCAGAACCCGGAGGAUUUUUAUGAUGUCGACCAGCGGGAGAAUGAUGCAAAGGUCGCGGAGCUGAAUCAGAGGAUUGAAGUUUUGGAGCGUGAAAAGAAAAAGUUGGUUGACGAGAAUGAACAAAUUAAAGAUAGGAUUGAAAUAUUGUCAGCGGAGAUUGAAGGGUUGAAGAGUGAGGAAGGGACGCUAAAAGAACGACUGAAAGAAAUGGAGAAACAAGUUAAAAGCGCCGAAGAGGGAAAUAAGGUAUUAGAGUCUGUUGCCGCAAGGGCACUGGAGCUUGAGACUGAAGUCGCAAGGCUACAACAUGAUUUGAUAUCUACGAUGAAUGGAGCCGAUGAUGCGAAUGCUGAAGUUGAAAGGUUGAGGAAAAGUUUGGGGGAAAAAGCAGUGAACGUUACAGCUGUGGAGGAAGAGUUGGAAGCCCUGAAGAAAGCAAAGGCAGAAGGUGAAAGGAAAGUCAGAGAAUUGGAGAGGAAAGUUGGUGUUUUGGAGGUCAAGGAGAUAGAGGAGAAGAGUAAAAAAGUUAGGGUGGAGGAGGAAAUGAGAGACAGAAUCGAGGAGAAGGAGAUGGAAAUCACCAGUUUUAAGAAAACUAUCAUGGAUUUGGAAUCAGUGAUUACGAAGAACGGGCUGGAAUUAGAUAGGUGGAUCAAGGAGAAACUUAAGGUGGAAGAGUUGUUGAAAGAGUCCGAGGAGAAAACGAAAAUGGUAGAGUCCAAAAUGGUUCAGUUGCAGAAGGAAGUUGAGGAAGCACACAAAGUCAUUUGUGGGUUAAAGGAGAAAGCAGUGAAUGCUUUGAAUGGAACUGCAGAGGAACUCAAGUCGGCAUUCAAAGGUGCAGAGAAGGAGUUGAACUUGAACUGGCCUAUAAUUGCAGGUUCGACUGGAGUUGUUGCUGCCGUAGCUGCACUGGCCUUCGUUUUAUAUGGAAGGCAAAGAUGAAUCAUGACGCCAAGAAGCUAGAUAUUUGAGAUGGAGACUUGACUCAGAAUAUAGCCAAAAGGGGUUGGGUAUGGUUCCACCAUUGAUGGAGACGGAUCAGCCCUCAUAAAUUCAUGGGUGAAACUCACAGCUAACACUUCCCCAAAACAAUGGCAGCAGCUUGUGGUGCAGUUGUAAAUUUGUACGGCGGCAUUUGCAAGCUGUUGUGUUUAGAUCUGGUAGUAAUAUAAUUGCAUUUGUUGCUAUUAUUUUGCAGCUAGCACCAAUUAUAUCUUAGAAUUUUCAACUUCUUAAUUCUGGACAGCUCAUCUCUGUGUUGCUUCACUCUUCUUUCUUCUGCUGUCUCAACUACUUCUCUGUUUCUCUUUUAAGCCAAUUGUGUAUCCUCAAGUUGGUUGGUUGGUUUGUUUUGUUGUUUGACUGGUCUUUGCUACACUCUGUUGUACAUUUGGGAAUACUGUGGACUUGUGUAAUGAUCAAUUUAUGGGCAUUAACAACAAUACUUAAUGGAAAAGAAAA